UUAUCUGCCUUUUCAGUCAUGAUUUUAGGAUUAUUUAUCCACUAUCGGGACACACCCAUUGUCAGAGCAAAUAACAGAAAUCUCAGCUAUCUCCUCCUAGUUUCUCUAAUGCUCUGUUUCUUUUGCUCAUUAAUAUUCAUUAGCCAACCUAGUACAGUCACUUGUGUCUUGAGACAAAUGAUUUUUGGGGUUGUAUUUUCUGUUGCUGUGUCUGCUGUCUUGGCAAAGACUUUUAUUGUAAUUGUGGCCUUCACAGCCAUCAAAGCAGGAAGCAUAUUACAAAUGUGGAUGGUGACAUGACUUUCAAAUGCUAUAGUCUGCUGUGGUUCCAUUAUUCAAGUGUGCAUCUGUGCAGUCUGGCUGGGAACAAAUCCCCCUUUCCCUGAUGUUGACAUGCACUCAGAGUUUGGGCAAAUCAUACUCUUUUGUAACGAGGGGUCCACCCUUGCCUUCUAUUGUGUUCUGGGGUACUUGGGCUUUCUGUUCAGUCUCAGCUUGCUUAUUGCUUUUCUGGCUAGAAGGUUACCUGACAGCUUCAAUGAGGCAAAAAUAAUCACAUUCAGCAUGCUGGUUUUCUGCACUGUGUGGAUUACUUUUGUACCCACUUACUUGAGCUCCAAAGGUAAAACCAUAGUGGCAGUGGAAAUUCUUUCAAUUCUGGCCUCCAGUUCUAUCUUACUGCUCUGCAUAUUUCUUCCCAAAUACUAUGUGAUCCUACUGAGGUCAGGUGGCUAUUCUAGAAAGAAGUUUUCUAAAU
rnacentral:lncRNA from 1 species